UACGAAGGGGGCUAGCGUUGUUCGGAAUUACUGGGCGUAAAGCGCGUGUAGGCGGGUCUUUAAGUCAGGGGUGAAAUGCCAAGGCUCAACCUUGGAACUGCCUUUGAUACUGGAGAUCUUGAGUCCGGGAGAGGUGAGUGGAACUGCGAGUGUAGAGGUGAAAUUCGUAGAUAUUCGCAAGAACACCAGUGGCGAAGGCGGCUCACUGGCCCGGAACUGACGCUGAGACGCGAAAGCGUGGGGAGCAAACAGGG
rnacentral:rRNA from 1 species